rnacentral:lncRNA from 1 species
AUGUUAGAUGCACUGGCUGGGGAGGAGGGGGCGGGGGCGGGGUUAGUUCCAUCUUUAUCUUGUCCGCAGCCGCCUGGUACUUCACCCCAGCCCCCCAGCCAGGAAUGCCAGGAGGAAAUGGUGACAUCCUACAGGAAGGCAGUGCACAUGCCAGUGCUUGAAGAUCCUCUAACUUCCUUCCUCUCCCAAGAAUACUGGUGGCCCAAAUCAUUCUUCUUUGUGUACGAAGGAUGUACAGAGAUCUGUCAAUGGCAAAACAUUUGCUCAAAGUCACUGGAAGUCAAGGAAGCUAAAAUUCCGGGCUGGCGUUCAACCGUGGACGACUGUCAGACUGAGCUGGAGCCUCAGCGGGUCUCUCUGGACUACAGAGCUGGAGCGGGAUGUGCAGUGCGGGUGAGGGGGCUCAAUCUUAUGUUUGUUCACCCAGAUGUCUGCACAAGAUCCUUUCUUCACCUUGGCAGAUGA